rnacentral:rRNA from 1 species
AGAGUUUGAUCCUGGCUCAGGACGAACGCUGGCGGCGUGCUUAACACAUGCAAGUCGAGCGGUAAGGCCUUUCGGGGUACACGAGCGGCGAACGGGUGAGUAACACGUGGGUGAUCUGCCCUGCACUUCGGGAUAAGCCUGGGAAACUGGGUCUAAUACCGGAUAUGACCUCAGGUUGCAUGACUUGGGGUGGAAAGAUUUAUCGGUGCAGGAUGGGCCCGCGGCCUAUCAGCUUGUUGGUGGGGUAAUGGCCUACCAAGGCGACGACGGGUAGCCGACCUGAGAGGGUGACCGGCCACACUGGGACUGAGACACGGCCCAGACUCCUACGGGAGGCAGCAGUGGGGAAUAUUGCACAAUGGGCGAAAGCCUGAUGCAGCGACGCCGCGUGAGGGAUGACGGCCUUCGGGUUGUAAACCUCUUUCAGCAGGGACGAAGCGCAAGUGACGGUACCUGCAGAAGAAGCACCGGCUAACUACGUGCCAGCAGCCGCGGUAAUACGUAGGGUGCAAGCGUUGUCCGGAAUUACUGGGCGUAAAGAGUUCGUAGGCGGUUUGUCGCGUCGUUUGUGAAAACCAGCAGCUCAACUGCUGGCUUGCAGGCGAUACGGGCAGACUUGAGUACUGCAGGGGAGACUGGAAUUCCUGGUGUAGCGGUGAAAUGCGCAGAUAUCAGGAGGAACACCGGUGGCGAAGGCGGGUCUCUGGGCAGUAACUGACGCUGAGGAACGAAAGCGUGGGUAGCGAACAGGAUUAGAUACCCUGGUAGUCCACGCCGUAAACGGUGGGCGCUAGGUGUGGGUUCCUUCCACGGAAUCCGUGCCGUAGCUAACGCAUUAAGCG